GAUGAACGCUGGCGGCGUGCCUAAUACAUGCAAGUCGAGCGAACGGACGAGAAGCUUGCUUCUCUGAUGUUAGCGGCGGACGGGUGAGUAACACGUGGAUAACCUACCUAUAAGACUGGGAUAACUUCGGGAAAGCGGAGAUAAUACCGGAGGAUAUUUUGAACCGCAUGGUUGAAAGGUGAAAUACGGUGGUGCGGGCACUUAUAGAUGGAUCCGCGCUGCAUGAGCUGGUUGGUAAGGUAACAGCUUACCAAGGCAACGAGGCAUAGCCGACGUGAGAGGGUGGUCGGCCACAUGGGAACUGAGACGCGGUCAAGACUCCUACGGGACGCAGCAGUAGCGAACGUUAGGCAACAGGCGAGAGCCUGACGCAGCAACGCCGAGUGAGUGAUGACGGUCUUCGGAUCGUAAAACCCUGUUAUUAGGGAAGAACAUCUGUCUCAGUAAAUGUGCCCAUCUUGACGGUACCUAAUAAGAAAGCAACGGCUAACUACGUG
rnacentral:rRNA from 1 species